rnacentral:rRNA from 1 species
UGGUGGCGAUGCGUUCAGGGGUAACACCCGUUCCCAUCCCGAACACGAUGGUUAAGACCUGAACGGCCGAUGGUACUGCACUGGAGACGGUGU